rnacentral:lncRNA from 1 species
UCUGUGGACAGUUGACAUGGUUAUUGGAUUGGGAGCUGCAGGAAGUGCCCAACAUGGGAAGAAAAACCCUUUAGAAUGAAAGGGCUGUCCACACAAGUUCUCUUGCUCUCCCAAUCCCAGGUUGGGCUCAGCAAACAACUUUCCAGCUGUUGGUUCUGUAAGGGUUUCAGUGAGCAAGACGCACUGUGGUCCAGGAAAAUCGAGCACCAGGGGCCUCUGGGCUGCAGGCCAAGGAACACUCGUUUGACUUUUAGAGACUGAGGCUGUCUGAGACCAUUUACCAGCUAUCACUGAACAGUGCCCUAAGCCUUGGGUGUCAUGGAGGGAACAGAUAUGGCCCCUGGCCUUAGAUUACCUACAACAUGGUGUGGGAGAUGGGGCACUUAUGAAGAAUGUGUUGUGAGAUGUAAUUUUUCAGAAUGAGGAGAAAUCCUUCCCACUAAGGGAUUAAGGCCCAGGAGUUGCUGUGAUUCAGGCCAUGUGAAUUGUUCCCCCACCUGCACACCCUGGGCAUCAAGGAGAAGGCAAUAUCUUUGCUCACAAAGCAUUUUGCAGGCCUGGGAAAUGGAGCUUGGAUUGUAAGGGGUCCGAACUACUUUAGCGCUGCAGUGGAAAUAGCCUCCGCAUGAGGGAGGAGAAGAAUCAAGCGGGGAAUGUGCCAGCUGAGGACUGGAAACCGCAGUCAGAAGAAUGGAUCUGCAUUUUCCACUCCUGGCAGAGAACAGGCCUCAGUCAGGAAUACAACCAGACGGCUGGGCCUGGGAGUCUCCGAAGCAAACCUGGAACUGAGUAUAUACACCCUCACACCAGCAGGUACCUUCCAAAAUGCUGCAGACUCCCCAGAC